ACCGUUCUGUUUUACAACGUUGUUGAGUUUUUGCUUCCCAAAAAUUACUUCCCUGCUCUCACCCCUGAGCCCGGUUCUCUCCUCAGAAGAGCCAAAAAAGCUCAGGACUCUCCGCCCUCUCUUCGCUUCCCUUUCUCUUCCCCUGGCCUAGCCCAGCCCUCCAAUUCCCCGCUCUCGUCUCUCCUUCACACUAUUGCUUACUCGAAGAUGGCUUUCAUUUGCCUUUAGGGUUUCUAAGAUCAACCCUUUUAGUUUUCGAACCCAGUCUGGACCGAAUCUUAAUCUAACUUAUCCAAUUCAUCAACAUGGCUAUCCGCGUCACCUUCACUUACUCCGGCUACGUUGCCCAGAACCUAGCUUCCACCGCCGGCUUCCGUCUCGGAUCUUUCUCGUCCCGACCCGUCCAGGAAUGCUGGCUCCGGUCCCGUGUACUUUCCCCCAAACAAAAAUCCGAAGUCGAACCUUCCCCUCCUCGUGCUUUCCACUCCUCUGCUGCGGGUCUCCGUAACCCACGGUCGAGCAUGUACUCGACCCUCGCCGCUGAUAUCCUUAAAGAUGGUUUUAAUAACCCGAUUAUCGUUGGUUUGAUCUCGCUGAUGAUGAGGUCAACGGCUUACGGUUCUUGUUCCUCGGCUACCACUUUGGGAAUUUCGCCUUUUAAAGCUAGUUCGAUUAUCCCUUUCUUGCAGGGAUCGAAGUGGCUGCCGUGUAAUGAACUGGCUGCUAUGGGACCGGAGAGUAGUGAGGUGGAUAGAGGAGGAACAAGCAAUGAUGAUCGCAAUCUGAGCUUGGAUUUGGAUCCCAAAGCGUUAGGUAAAAGCAGUUGGAUUUCGAGGUUGUUCAAUGUUUGCUCCGAAGAUGCCAAGGCUGCUUUAACUGCUGUAACCGUUAGAAUACUUUUCCGGUCGUUUUUGGCUGAGCCAAGGUCAAUUCCUUCAACUUCAAUGUACCCUACCCUGGAUGUUGGCGACCGCAUUUUGGCUGAGAAGGUUUCAUAUUUCUUUAGAAAGCCUGAAGUUUCCGAGAUUGUUAUAUUCAGGGCACCUCCUAUCUUGCAGGAAAUUGGGUACAGUUCAGGCGAUGUUUUUAUUAAAAGGAUAGUUGCUAAGGCUGGUGACUGUGUUGAAGCUUGUGAUGGAAAACUGUCAAUAAAUGGUGUUGUUCAAGAUGAAGAUUUUGUUCUAGAGCCAUUAGAUUAUGAAAUGGAACCAGUGGUUGUGCCUGAAGGUUAUGUUUUUGUGUUGGGAGAUAAUCGCAACAACAGUUUUGAUUCCCAUAACUGGGGUCCACUUCCCAUCAAAAACAUUGUUGGUAGAUCUGUAUUUCGCUAUUGGCCUCCUUCUAAAGUUUCAGAUACUUUAUUUGAUCCACAUGUGGGGAAAAAUGCUGUAGCAGUUUCUUGACUACUGAGAUAACUUAGACUUUUACUUGAUUAGGUGGCUCAUAUUGAGCAUCCAUGAAUAUUCAGCUCUAUAUUCAUGUCCCUGGACAUGGUUUAGGAUUGACAAUCAUGUCUGAUUAUCAUGUCCAUUGAAAGUGGGCUGCUCUUAUCAAACUGAACUGAAUUGAGAAUCCAAGGUCUUAAGGUGGUUGAUAGCAAAGAUGCGCGAUUGUUUAACGUGAAGCAGAUGUAUUCUGUCAGAUUUGAUGGUUGGAGAAAGAUGGAAGCUGGAGGGCAAUAUUUGGGCCAUUGGAUUCUCAAUUUUGGUCAGCGGAGAGGCAUUGAAAGUAGAAAGGGAAGGCUACUGAUUUUCACCAACCAUAUUUAAGGCCUGUGAAUCUGAAUCUAGGUUUUUUUUGGUUUAAUCUUCAUGCACUCCAACCGUAGUUCAGUGUUUGAACUUUAUUUUCUUAUAUAAUAGAAUAAAAUGUGGUAAUUCACAUUCUUGUUCUGUUUAUUAUUGAACAAAAAUGGAAUGAGCAUUGUUUAGAUCAUAUUGUUUCAAUUAUGAGAAUGAUUGAAUUUUAUCAACAAGGUAAGGUUUGAAGGCGAAUAAUUUUGUUUUCCACGUUUUUGUUUCCACAUUCUUUCUUUUUCCAUUUCUUUUCCUAGCCAUGGCGGCUUGAC